GAUGAACGCUGGCGGCGUGCCUAAUACAUGCAAGUCGAGCGAACGGACGAGAAGCUUGCUUCUCUGAUGUUAGCGGCGGACGGGUGAGUAACACGUGGAUAACCUACCUAUAAGACUGGGAUAACUUCGGGAAACCGGAGCUAAUACCGGAUAAUAUUUUGAACCGCAUGGUUCAAAAGUGAAAGACGGUCUUGCUGUCACUUAUAGAUGGAUCCGCGCUGCAUUAGCUAGUUGGUAAGGUAACGGCUUACCAAGGCAACGAUGCAUAGCCGACCUGAGAGGGUGAUCGGCCACACGGGAACGGAGACACGGUCCACACUCCUACGGGAGGCAGCAGUAGGGAAUCCUCCGCAAUGGGCGAAAUCCUGACGGAGCAACGCCGCGUGAGUGAUGAAGGUCAUCGGACCGUAAAAAUCUGUUAUUAGGGAAGAACAUAUUUGUAAGUAACUGUGCACAUCUUGACGGUACCUAAGCAGAAAGCCACGGCUAACUACGUG
rnacentral:rRNA from 1 species